ensembl:lncRNA
CCCUGGGGAACAGAGCAGGAGAGAAAAACCCAGACAGCACACAGGGCAACUGGCAGCCUCUGUGGCCCUUUUACACACCUGGGUUACGCCUCUACUCUUGGCCGGGUACAUUUUCUCAAGCGUCUUUUAGUUCCCCGGUUCUCAAAGUAGUCAUGGGACCAGCAGCAUCAGGACCAUCUGGGAACUGGUUAGAAAUUCAGACCCUCACCUGCCACCCCCUACCCUCAGUACUAUUGAAUCAGCACCUCUGGGUGGGGCCCAGCAAUUUCUGUUUUAAAAAAUCUGCCAAGCAAUUCCAAGGUGUGCUCAAGUUUGAGACCUUGGCUUUACUUGAGCUUCACCCAAAGUGGGAAGGGGACAGGCUUCCCUGGUGGCUCAGUGGUAAAGAAUCUGUCUGCCAACGCAGGAGACGUGAGUUCGAUCCUUGAUCUGGGAAGAUCCCACACACUUUGGAGCAACUAAGCCCGUGAUCCACAAUUAUUGAGCCUAUGCUCUAGAGCCCAGGAACUGCAACUACUUAAGCCUGAGUGCUCAGCAACAAGAGAAGCCUCCUCGAUGAGAAGAGCUUGCACCCCAACUAGAGAGGAGACCUGUUGACCACAACUAGAGAAAAGCCCACACAGCAGUGAAGACCCAGCACAGCCAAAUAUAUUAAGGCCCGCUGAGAUGUGUUCGAGCCUCACGCAGCAAUGGGACUUGGAUACGCCUGAAACCCUGGCGCUGGGAUGGCCCCGGCUCGGCGCGGAUGCAGCAUGAAGGCCGUCGGAGAGCAAGCGUUGGAAGCCUCCUGAGAUCUGGAACCACAGCCUAGCCCCUGAGGAGAGGCGAUGCGGGAUAUCUCCAGCGGAAAAGACGGGGAGCCCAGUAGACAGGGCGAGAGAGCUCCGCUUUUCAGAGGGUUGGUGAGACUCCUUCCUGGCCUCAGAAGGGACCUGGCUUGGAGACCACCACCAAGGGCCUUCCAGCUCUAACCACACGCUCCAUGAAAAGCCUGCCAUGUGACAACAGCCUCCCGAGCGUCUUUGACUGCAAGCACUGCUCGCCUCAUUUCCAGGAGCCUUUUCUAGUGCAUCGUGGUGCAAAUCCACUUCUCUACAGCCCUGCUCCUCCCUGUGGGCUCCCCUUCCUGCUUCUGUCCGCAGCACUCUCUCCUCCCUGAGCCUCCCAAUUUCUAAACCAUCUGCGUGUAAUCCUAGGGUACUCACCCACGCCAGUGCCAUCCAAACAGUUGACAACCUGUGUAAUCCUCUUAAAUCCAUUCCCUCUGUAUCAGUCUGCAGGGGCUGCCAAAACAAAGUAUCACAGACUGGGGGGCUUAAACAACAGAGAUUUAUUUUCUCACAGUCCCGGAGGCUGGAAGUUCAAGAUCAAGGUGUCGACAGGGUUGUUUCUUCUCUGAGGCCUCUGGCUUGCAGAUGGCUGUCUUCUCCUUAGGUCUUCAUAUGGUCUUCCCUCUGUGCAACCGUGUGUCCUAAUUUCUUCUUCUUACAAGGGCACCGAUUAUAUUGGAUUCAUAUCUGCCCUAAUGACCUCGUUUUAACUUAAUCACCUCUUUAAAGACCCUCUCUCCAAACACAGUCACAAUUGAGGUGCUGUGGGUUAGAACUUGAAGAUGUGAAUGGGGGUGGGGUGCACAGUUCAGCUGGUGCCAGCCUUCUCACUGCGGCUGCUCCAGCUGCAGCCCUGCCAUGCCCCACCUGGUAGCACAGUAGCUC